rnacentral:rRNA from 1 species
UACGUAGGGGCAAGCGUUGUCCGGAAUUAUUGGGCGUAAAGCGCGCGCAGGCGGUCCUUUAAGUCUGAUGUGAAAGCCCACGGCUUAACCGUGGAGGGUCAUUGGAAACUGGUCGACUUGAGUGCAGAAGAGGGGAAGUGGAAUUCCAUGUGUAGCGGUGAAAUGCGUAGAGAUAUGGAGGAACACCAGUGGCGAAGGCGGCUUCCUGGUCUGUAACUGACACUGAGGCGCGAAAGCGUGGGGAGCAAACAGGAUUAGAUACCCCGGUAGUCCCU